UACGAAGGGGGCUAGCGUUGUUCGGAAUAACUGGGCGUAAAGCCCACGUAGGCGGACUUGUAAGUUGGGGGUGAAAGCCCAGGGCUCAACCCUGGAACUGCCUCCGAUACUGCAAGUCUCGAGUCCGGGAGAGGCGAGUGGAAUUCCUAGUGUAGAGGUGAAAUUCGUAGUUAUUAGGAAGAACACCAGUGGCGAGGCGGCUCACUGGCCCGGUACUGACGCUGAGGUGCGAAAGAGUGGGGAGCAAACAGG
rnacentral:rRNA from 1 species